rnacentral:rRNA from 1 species
GAGUAAUGUCUGGGAAACUGCCUGAUGGAGGGGGAUAACUACUGGAAACGGUGGCUAAUACCGCAUAACGUCGCAAGACCAAAGAGGGGGACCUUCGGGCCUCUUGCCAUCAGAUGUGCCCAGAUGGGAUUAGCUUGUUGGUGAGGUAACGGCUCACCAAGGCGACGAUCCCUAGCUGGUCUGAGAGGAUGACCAGCCACACUGGAACUGAGACACGGUCCAGACUCCUACGGGAGGCAGCAGUGGGGAAUAUUGCACAAUGGGCGCAAGCCUGAUGCAGCCAUGCCGCGUGUAUGAAGAAGGCCUUCGGGUUGUAAAGUACUUUCAGCGGGGAGGAAGGUGUUGUGGUUAAUAACCACAGCAAUUGACGUUACCCGCAGAAGAAGCACCGGCUAACUCCGUGCCAGCAGCC